rnacentral:rRNA from 1 species
ACUCAAAUGAAUAGACGGGGGCUCACACAAGCGGUGGAGCAUGUGGCUUAAUUCGAGGCUACGCGAAGAACCUUAUCCUGGGCUUGACAUGUGCGAAAGCGGCAGGAAGUAGGGUACGGAAACGCUACCCGAACGGUAUCCAGUCCGGAACUUGCCACAGGUGCUGCAUGGCUGUCGUCAGCUCGUGUCGUGAGAUGUUGGGUUAAGUCCCGUAACGAGCGAAACCCUUGUUUCCAGUUGCCAACGGUUCGGCCGGGGACUCUGGAAAGACUGCCGGUGUUAAACCGGAGGAAGGCGGGGAUGACGUCAAGUCCUCAUGGCCUUUAUGCCCAGGGCUGCACACGUGCUACAAUGGCACAUACAAAGGGAAGCAAACCUGCGAAGGGGAGCAAAUCCCAAAAAAUGUGCCCCAGUUCAGAUCGAAGGCUGCAACUCGCCUUCGUGAAGUUGGAAUCGCUAGUAAUCGCAGGUCAGCAACACUGCGGUGAAUGUGUUCCUGAGCCUUGCACACACCGCCCGU